rnacentral:rRNA from 1 species
CCUACGGGAGGCAGCAGUGGGGAAUAUUGCACAAUGGGGGAAACCCAGAUGCAGCGACGCCGCGUGAGUGAAGAAGUAUCUCGGUACGUAAAGCCCUAUCAGCAGGGAAGAAAAUGACGGUACCUGACUAAGAAGCCCCGGCUAACUACGUGCCAGCAGCCGCGGUAAUACGUAGGGGGCAAGCGUGAUCCGGAUUUACUGGGUGUAAAGGGAGCGUAGACGGCAGCACAAGUCUGGAGUGAAAUCCCGGGGCUGAACCCCGGAACUGCUUUGGAUACUGUGCGGCUGGAGUGCAGGAGGGGUAAGCGGAAUUCCUAGUGUAGCGGUGAAAUGCGUAGAUAUUAGGAGGAACACCGGUGGCGAAGGCGGCUUACUGGACUGUAACUGACGUUGAGGCUCGAAAGCGUGGGGAGCAAACAGGAUUAGAUACCCCUGUAGUC